rnacentral:rRNA from 1 species
UGAGUACGAGAUGCUACGGCAUCGAAGCAGUCUAUGUCAUACUUCCAAGAAAAGCUUGCACUGUCAUAAACAAAGAAUGCCUGUACCAUAACCGACACAGGUGGGUAGGUAGAGUAUACUAAGGGGCGCGAGAUAACUCUCUCUAAGGAACUCGGCAAAAUGACUCCGUAACUUCGGGAGAAGGAGUGCCUUAUUUCUAAGGUUGCAAUAACAAGAUCCAAGCAACUGUUUACCAAAAACACAGGUCUCCGCUAAGUCGUAAGACGAUGUAUGGGGGCUGACGCCUGCCCAGUGCCAGAAGGUUAAAGAAGUUGGUUAGCAUUAGCGAAGCUGAUAACUGAAGCCCUGGUGAACGGCGGCCGUAACGAUAACGGUCCUAAGGUAGCGAAAUUCCUUGUCGGGUAAGUUCCGACCCGCACGAAAGGCGUAAUGAUUUGGAUACUGUCUCGGAGAGGGGCUCGGUGAAAUAGACUUGUCUGUGAAGAUGCGGACUACCUGCACCUGGACAGAAAGACCCUAUGAAGCUUUACUGUAACUUGAGAUUGAAAUAGGACUUUAUUUGCGCAGUAUAGGUGGGAGGCGUUGAGAAUAAUCUUGCGGGAUUGUUGGAGCCAUCAGUGAGAUACCACUCUUGUAAUGUUAGAUUUCUAACUUUGUAUCAUUAUCUGGUCAAAGAACAGUUUCAGGCGGGCAGUUUGACUGGGGCGGUCGCCUCCCAAAGGGUAACGGAGGCGCACAAAGGUCUCCUCUGAACGGGUAGAAAUCGUAUCUAGAGUGUAAAGGCAUAAGGAAGCUUGACUGUGAGACCUACAAGUCGAGCAGGGACGAAAGUCGGUCUUAGUGAUCUGACGGUGCUGAGUGGAAAGGCCGUCACUCAACGGAUAAAAGUUACUCUAAGGAUAACAGGCUGAUCUCCCCCAAGAGUUCACAUCGACGGGGAGGUUUGGCACCUCGAUGUCGGCUCAUCGCAUCCUGGGGCGGUAGUCCGUCCCAAGGGUUGGGCUGUUCGCCCAUGAAAGCGGUACGCGAGCUGGGUUCAGAACGUCGUGAGACAGUUCGGUCCAUAUCCGGUGUAGGCGUUAGAAUAUUGAGAGGAGCCUUCUCUAGUACGAGAGGACCGAGAAGGACAUACCUCUGGUGUACCAGUUAUCGUGCCAACGGUAAACGCUGGGUAGCUAUGUAUGGAGUGGAUAACCGCUGAAAGCAUCUAAGUGGGAAGCCCACCUCAAGAUAAG